AAUAAGAACCAGGGGAGUGAAGGGGCUCACCCAGUGUCACAGGAGCAGUCAGGGGUGGAGCCAGCGUGUGGACACAAGGCCUCUUCCAGCUGCCCACUGUUUCUAUGCUGCCUCUCCGCACCCCACCGCAGAAUGUCUCCUAACCACAGUCUUCCAUGAGAUGAUGCCAGCACUUAGCACAGAGACACAGGCAACCAGACCUGGACAAAUGAAAAUCACACUGGCGGGAGGCCAGUGUAAGUGACGACUGAUGGAGAGAGAUGGCAGUCCCUGUUUCCUGAGGCUUGAAAAACCCGAGGGCACCCUGGCCACACACUGUGGGAGCGCGGGAACAGGAGUGCGCUAUCCAGCGCGCCACAAUUUCUGGAGUCAGGUGUCUUAGCUCAACAGAUGCCGUAUUAGGAACAAACAUUAUGGCUCCACUAUCUAGAUGAGGCUGCUGCGGCUGAAGGAGUUUCAGUGACCGUGCCAACCCACGCAGUGGCAGAGGUAGAAUGACAGAGAAAGCUAUUGAUCUCUGAACUACUCUAGAAGAUACAGAAGAUCCUUCACAGGUUUCUGCAAGCACCCACUUCAUUGUCCCACCCAACUCCUUCUCUCCUGGCUUCCCCAACCCUUGGCAGCUGCUAAUCCACUCCCAUCUCUAAAGACUUGUAAUUUUGAGGACGUUAUACAAAUAAAAUUGUACAGC
rnacentral:lncRNA from 10 species